rnacentral:rRNA from 1 species
CCUACGGGCGGCAGCAGUGGGGGAUAUUGCACAAUGGGGGGAACCCUGAUGCAGCGACGCCGCGUGGGUGCAGGAGUGCUUCGGCAUGUAAAGCCCUAUCGGCAGGGAAGAAGCAAGACGGUACCUGACUAAGAAGCCCCGGCUAACUACGUGCCAGCAGCCGCGGUAAUACGUAGGGGGCGAGCGUUAUCCGGAUUCACUGGGUGUAAAGGGAGCGUAGACGGCCAUGCAAGCCAGGGGUGAAAGCCCGGGGCCCAACCCCGGGACUGCCCUUGGAACUGUGCGGCUAGAGUGCGGGAGGGGCAGGCGGAAUUCCUGGUGUAGCGGUGAAAUGCGUAGAUAUCAGGAGGAACACCGGCGGCGAAGGCGGCCUGCUGGACUGCGACUGACGUUGAGGCUCGAAAGCGUGGGGAGCGAACAGGAUUAGAUACCCGGGUAGUC